rnacentral:tRNA from 1 species
GAGGGUAUAUCUCAGUGGUAGAGUGUGUGCUUAGCACGCACAAGGUUCUGAGUUCAAUCCCUAGUACCUCCU